rnacentral:rRNA from 1 species
AGAGUUUGAUCAUGGCUCAGGAUGAACGCUAGCGGGAGGCUUAAUACAUGCAAGUCGAGCGAGAAAUACCCUUCGGGGUGUGGGCAGCGGCGCACGGGUGAGUAACGCGUACACAAUCUACCAUAUACAGGAGGAUAGCCCCGGGAAACUGGGAUUAAUACUCCAUAGUCCGUAUUCAUGGCAUCAUGAUAGCGGUAAAGCUCCGCGGUAUAUGAUGAGUGUGCGUACUAUUAGGUAGUUGGUGGGGUAACGGCUCACCAAGCCGAUGAUAGUUAGGGGGCGUGAGAGCGUGAUCCCCCACACGGGUACUGAGACACGGACCCGACUCCUACGGGAGGCAGCAGUAAGGAAUAUUGGACAAUGGGCGCAAGCCUGAUCCAGCCAUCCCGCGUGCAGGAUGACGGCGCUACGCGUUGUAAACUGCUUUUGUGUAAGAUGAAACACCGAUAUUUAUAUUGGCUUGACGUUAUUACAAGAAUAAGCACCGGCUAACUCCGUGCCAGCAGCCGCGGUAAUACGGAGGGUGCAAGCGUUAUCCGGAAUCACUGGGUUUAAAGGGUGCGUAGGUGGACUAGUAAGUCAGAGGUGAA